rnacentral:rRNA from 1 species
CAGCAGCCGCGGUAAUACGUAGGGUGCAAGCGUUAUCCGGAAUUAUUGGGCGUAAAGGGCUCGUAGGCGGUUCGUCGCGUCCGGUGUGAAAGUCCAUCGCUUAACGGUGGAUCUGCGCCGGGUACGGGCGGGCUGGAGUGCGGUAGGGGAGACUGGAAUUCCCGGUGUAACGGUGGAAUGUGUAGAUAUCGGGAAGAACACCAAUGGCGAAGGCAGGUCUCUGGGCCGUUACUGACGCUGAGGAGCGAAAGCGUGGGGAGCGAACAGGAUUAGAUACCCUGGUAGUCCACGCCGUAAACGGUGGAUGCUGGAUGUGGGGCCCGUUCCACGGGUUCCGUGUCGGAGCUAACGCGUUAAGCAUCCCGCCUGGGGAGUACGGCCGCAAGGCUAAAACUCAAAGAAAUUGACGGGGGCCCGCACAAGCGGCGGAGCAUGCGGAUUAAUUCGAUGCAACGCGAAGAACCUUACCUGGGCUUGACAUGUUCCCGACAGCCGUAGAGAUAUGGCCUCCCUUCGGGGCGGGUUCACAGGUGGUGCAUGGUCGUCGUCAGCUCGUGUCGUGAGAUGUUGGGUUAAGUCCCGCAACGAGCGCAACCCUCGCCCUGUGUUGCCAGCACGUCAUGGUGGGAACUCACGGGGGACCGCCGGGGUCAACUCGGAGGAAGGUGGGGAUGACGUCAGAUCAUCAUGCCCCUUACGUCCAGGGCUUCACGCAUGCUACAAUGGCCGGUACAACGGGAUGCGACACGGCGACGUGGAGCGGAUCCCUGAAAACCGGUCUCAGUUCGGAUUGGAGUCUGCAACCCGACUCCA